AGAGUUUGAUUCUGGCUCAGAAUGAACGCUGGCGGCGUGCUUAACACAUGCAAGUCGUACGAGAACGUCUUAGCUUGCUAAGAUUAGUAAAGUGGCGCACGGGUGAGUAACGCGUGGGUAAUCUACCUUCGAAUCGGGGAUAACAUUGCGAAAGCGAUGCUAAUACCGGAUAAUAUCUAUGAUUCUUCGGGAUUUUAGAUCAAAGAUGGCCUCUACUUGUAAGCUAUUGUUUGAAGAUGAGUCCGCGUCCCAUUAGCUUGUUGGUGGGGUAAUGGCCUACCAAGGCAACGAUGGGUAGCUGGUCUGAGAGGAUGAUCAGCCACACUGGAACUGACACACGGUCCAGACUCCUACGGGAGGCAGCAGUGAGGAAUUUUGCGCAAUGGGGGAAACCCUGACGCAGCAACGCCGCGUGAGUGAUGAAGGCUUUCGGGUCGUAAAGCUCUGUCAAGUGGGAAGAAACUAUAUGAGGCCAAUACCUUUAUAUACUGACGGUACCACUGAAGGAAGCACCGGCUAACUCCGUGCCAGCAGCCGCGGUAACACGGGGGGUGCAAGCGUUAUUCGGAUUCACUGGGCGUAAAGAGCGCGUAGGCGGCCAGGUAAGUCAGAUGUGAAAGCCCGGGGCUCAACCCUGGAAGUGCAUCUGAAACUGCUUGGCUUGAGUAUGGGAGAGGGUAGUGGAAUUCCUGGUGUAGAGGUGAAAUUCGUAGAUAUCAGGAGGAACACCGGUGGCGAAGGCGACUACCUGGACCAAUACUGACGCUGAGGCGCGAAGGCGAGGGGAGCAAACAGGAUUAGAUACCCUGGUAGUCCACGCAGUAAACGUUGUUCACUAGGUGUAGCGGGUAUUGACCCCUGCUGUGCCGCAGCUAACGCAUUAAGUGAACCGCCUGGGAAGUACGGCCGCAAGGCUAAAACUCAAAGAAAUUGACGGGGGCCCGCACAAGCGGUGGAGCAUGUGUUUAAUUCGACGCAACGCGAAGAACCUUACCUGGAUUUGACAUCCCGGGAAUUCUAUCGAAAGACUGAAGUGCCCUUCGGGGAACCCGGUGACAGGUGCUGCAUGGCUGUCGUCAGCUCGUGUCGUGAGAUGUUGGGUUAAGUCCCGCAACGAGCGCAACCCCUGUCUUUAGUUGCCAGCAUUAAGUUGGGGACUCUAAAGAUACCGCCCCGGUUAACGGGGAGGAAGGUGGGGAUGACGUCAAGUCCUCAUGGCCUUUAUGUCCAGGGCUACACACGUGCUACAAUGGGCUGUACAGAGGGUAGCGAUGCCGCGAGGUGGAGCCAAUCCCAAAAAGCAGUCCCAAGUUCGGAUUGGAGUCUGCAACUCGACUCCAUGAAGUUGGAAUCGCUAGUAAUCGCGGAUCAGCAUGCCGCGGUGAAUACGUUCCCGGGCCUUGUACACACCGCCCGUCACACCAUGAGAGUUGAUUGUACCGGAAGUUGUUGGGCCAACCUUUCGAGGAGGCAGGCACCUAUGGUAUGAUUGAUGAUUGGGGUGAAGUCGUAACAAGGUA
rnacentral:rRNA from 1 species